rnacentral:rRNA from 1 species
GACGAACGCUGGCGGCGUGCUUAACACAUGCGAGUCGAACGGAAAGGCCUGCUUUCCCUUGUGGAUUGCGGGUACUCGAGUGGCGAACGGGUGAGUAACACGUGAGUGAUCUGCCCCCAACUUGGGUAUAAGCCUGGGAAACUGGGUCUAAUUCCCGAUAGGACUGCAGGGUGGUGCCUGUGGUGGAAAACGAUUUUCUAGUGGUUGGGGAUGAGCUCGCGGCCUAUCAGCUUGUUGGUGGGGUAAUGGCCUACCAAGGCGGCGACGGGUAGCCGGCCUGAGAGGGGGGACGGCCACAUUGGGACUGAGAUACGGCCCAGACUCCUACGGGAGGCAGCAGUGGGGAAUAUUGCACAAUGGGCGGAAGCCUGAUGCAGCGACGCCGCGUGGGGGAUGACGGCCUUCGGGUUGUAAACUCCUUUCGACCGCGAGGAAGCCACCUGGUUGGAAGGGUGGUGACGGUAGUGGUAGAAGAAGCACCGGCUAACUACGUG